CCACACGAGUAGAUACUCCUUCAAGUUCGCUCUGAAUAUUUUAAACUACAAAAAAGGAUCUGUUAGCUGGCACCCUAUCAAAGGCAGUCAUUCAACAUUCAAGCCCAAGAUCAAAGCUCCAGAAGAGUAAUGGAUAAUCUAUCAAUGGCCUCAAUUCGCUCAUUCCACAAUCUACCAAAUCUUACCACUUCGUCAUCGAUUGCCAUCGCCUCCUACGAACCUGAUUUCAGCAAGGCCAUCGCUUCAAUUAUCUGGUCUCGACAUCGUACUCAAACUACGUCUGUCAUCUUCAAAUGCAACAUAGCCAACUGUCCACUAUGCCCAUCAGAUGCCAUUCCGUCAUCUCAGACACAUACGCAAGCAACGAAGAAACUACGACGAAAGUGUGUUCGCGCCAAGAGGACGGUCGAACGGAAAGACAGUAAAUCGAAGACUGCUUCGAUCACGGACUGCACUUUGGACAUAACUUCAUCAUCGAAUCCGUCUGUCCGUCCUUCUGAUUGUCAGGUGAACUUCUCUGUGAAAUCCAUCUUAAGCGGACAUGUCCAUCGACCUGAUUGGCCAAGGAUGACAUCAUUCUCAUCACCAUCAAGUGACAGCUUUCGCUUAUCUUCCUGUAGUUUGAUCGAAGUCAGGAGCAACCGAGUCAUCGACGUCAAGGAGACAACAGAAUCUCGUAACCUGGUCUCUUCGUCUAUGCCUUCGAAACGACGUCGGGUCAGCCUGAUUUAGGAUCUCAAAAUGGACUCUAUAUAUGGAUAAGAGACUCGUUGUGAUGGAGGAAAUAUAAAUAAAGACUUUGUUUUAUUUACUGUAUUGCCAGUGCACAUUUGAAUGUGUAACUGUCUGCCAGUUUGCAAUAUUGGACUUCGACGUGUUUUGUGAUGAUUAUAUUUUAUGAAGGAAAAUAAUAAAUUCACAGUUUCAGGUUCAACGUA